rnacentral:rRNA from 1 species
CAGCCGCCACGGGAAUACGGAGGGUGCAAGCGUUAAUCGGAAUUACUGGGCGUAAAGCGCACGCAGGCGGUCUGUCAAGUCGGAUGUGAAAUCCCCGGGCUCAACCUGGGAACUGCAUUCGAAACUGGCAGGCUAGAGUCUUGUAGAGGGGGGUAGAAUUCCAGGUGUAGCGGUGAAAUGCGUAGAGAUCUGGAGGAAUACCGGUGGCGAAGGCGGCCCCCUGGACAAAGACUGACGCUCAGGUGCGAAAGCGUGGGGAGCAAACAGGAUUAGAUACCCCGGUAGUCCCUGUCUCUUAUAA